rnacentral:rRNA from 1 species
GGUUCGCCGCCGGCGACGUCACGAGAAUUCCACUGAACCUUAUCAUUUAGAGGAAGGAGAAGUCGUAACAAGGUUUCCGUAGGUGAACCUGCGGAAGGAUCAUUG